UCGUUUGGCACCUCGGAUUUCUAAACAUCUUAUUAUCAUAUAACACUAGAACAUAGAACAAUUAAAUGAAACGAAAAGAAAAGAAAGAGAUGACAGAGAAUCCAUUGAGAAGUUUACCUGUAUCCAAGGUAUUUAUUCUCCAUGUUCUUGCUAUAUCGUUGAUGUAUUAUUAGCCAACCGUGUUCCUAAUAUGAUUAGUCAACCGUGUUCCUAAUAUGUCACUAAACAGAUAAUUUGUUCAUUCAAAUGUCACUUCACAG
rnacentral:lncRNA from 1 species